AUGACCUUAGCUCAGUUGGUAGAGUGGAGGACUGUAGAUCCUUAGGUCGCUGGUUCAAAUCCGGCAGGUCGGA
rnacentral:tRNA from 1 species